GUGAACGUAGCUCAGCUGGUUAGAGCGCAGGAUUGUGGCUCCUGAGAUCGCGGGUUCAAAUCCCGUCGUUCACCCCA
rnacentral:tRNA from 1 species